UCUUCUUGGUGCUACUGUUACUCUCUUCUGCAAGUAACAAUUUGAACACAAUUUUCUAUUUAUUUUAUGUACAUUUCAAGCUUUUGAAGCAAUAUUUGUCUCUUUAAAUAGCUACAUUGAAACAUUAUUUAGGUUACAAAGAAUGAAUUGGGGAGUGAAACCUCAUAGAGUCUGAUGGAACUCGCUUGGGUAGUGUACAUUCGUUAAAAGCCUAUAAAUUAAAAAAAGAAGAGUAAUUUACAUACGGACCUUAAAACUUUAGGUAAAAUAUAAAAAGCUCUGCUUAUAUAUAGAAAGUACAAAGAAGGUCGGUCAACCCGUUUCAACUAGAUCAAAUCCUGAAUACUAGUGAUUAUUUUAUGCUUCUUUAAACCUUUGUUUAUAAAUUUGAGUUACACUGCAAAUCAUCAAACGUCAUCAAUUCCAAGUAACUUGGCCAAGUCGGAGUCACCUCAGUAAACGCUGACUUAUACUUUGUACAACAUCAUUUUAAAGUUCCUCAAGGAUUCACUGAGUAAUAUUAUCUUAUGCGUGCGAUUUGUAUAGAGUUGAGGCUCCAAACAAUCAAAGUAAAAAGCACCUUUAAAUAGUAUCGAGAAAUAUGGUUUCAAAACUAGAAAUCUUUCUGAUACUCUUAAAAUAUAUUUUCAUCUUUAAUUAUAAAAUUUAAAGCUUCAAAAAUAUUGUAGAUUUAACAUAUCUUGGAAAACUUGAAAACCUUGAAAAUUGACGGUCCAAAAAUGUGUUACAAGAUGCACUAUUUCCAAAACUUAAAAUCUAAUUUUUUCUUAUGUCCAUGCAUUUUGAUGUCGAGAUGAUCAAUUGGAGGAUAUUUGAGCAUCAAAAUAACCUCGUCUAAUAAAAUAUUUUAGAUAGGCUCUAAUUUGAUUAUUUAGAGCCUCGGCUCUAUAUAAUUUUUUCCGUAUUGAUGGUCAAUUGAUGGACAAUACCCUAAACAAAUUGAUAUUUAUCGACCACUUUACUAACAUAUUUGGUCCACUUUAGCCUACUCAUGGAUAAACCCCUAUUGUUUAGCCCCUAGAUUUUGAAGCACGCUGCAAUUGUCUACCAAAGUGAUUGAAUGAAUACAAUUUUUUUGCUUAGUUCAUUAUUGAAAUUGUUAAACCAAUGGGAAGUCCUUGUAUUGCACCCCUUUCAUGGUAGGGCCUUCAUUACCACUGAUUAACCAAAACAAAAGUGCGAAUUAUCAAAAAAAAAAAAAAUGCACCAUCUACCCAUUAAAAUUCCAUAGAAGAGUAAUCAUCGAUAUUUAAACAAUUACAGUUUAUUGUUUAAGAGUGAUGAUCGUAUGAGACCCUCCCAUAUCUAUGUGUUUAGGACCCCAAAAG
rnacentral:lncRNA from 1 species